ensembl:lncRNA
CUCAUUCAGUACGUUGUGUGCGAGGCGAAGACGACCGGCCGAAGUGGGUUGAGCCGGGGGCGAGGGACUAAGCAUGGAGCACACAGCAGCGCCAAGUCCUGAGGCCCGCUGGAAGAGUCACAGAGGGUAGCUGAAAGAACGUUCGCGGGCUCCGGUAGGACAGUCCCGUCCCGUUGCUGUGUAGGCAGGUGAGGAGCAGAGAGGAGAGGCAAGGAAAUGGGGCCCUGGAGGCAGGAGGUGAGGGGAGCAGCGUGCAAGACGUGGGAGAGUAGGGUCGAGGAGAGGCGGUCCAGCCGGCCGGAAGCGGGAGAGGGGCAGGCCGUGGCGCCUGACCGCUGGGGACAGGAGAGGCUUGCACAGAGGACCAGGGACGUGCCGGGCCACGAGGGCCGGCGGAGGGCCCGAAGGAAGGGCUGGACGUGGAGAAUCAAGGAAGUGUGUUCCCGUGAGUGGACCAGGGCCCCGAGGAAGCGCACCCGGGAGCAGAGCACAGCGUGGGCGAGGAAUCAAGGAACGCAGGAGAGGCGGGAGGGAGGAGAACGGAGGAGGAUGAGGCGGUGGUGGUAGUGGCCUGGAAGGUGCUGGAGACAGCCCUGUCAGUGUGGGGCACGGGGAGACGGGAAAGGUCAGAGAGACGCCCAGAGGAGGAGUGACCGUCUCAAAAACGGUGGCAGCUAAAACGGUAGGGGCCUUGGGAGCGAACCGGGAGAGCAGAUGGAUUCGGCACAGCACGUUGGCGAUGAGGAGGGCAAGGCGGGGAGCAUGAGGGCAGGGCAUCCAGGGCACAAGUUGCUGGGAGAAGACGGUGGCUGCCUCACGGGCCCGACAGCUACGAGGGCGAGUAGGACGGUGGCUGAAGAGGACGCGAGGGUCUCUCAGAGACGACAGUGGGAGAAAAAGAGGAGGAUGGGCCAAGAAGGGUUGAAAUCCGCACAGCAGGGACGUGCGCAGAGGGCGAUAGUGGAGUCUCGGGCAGCCGUGAGCAGGUGGUCUGCGGGCUGUGGGUGGGGGGUCAGGAUAGCCGAUGGGAAGAGACAGGGGCAGGCGGGACUGAAGAGGGGAGGGAACCUCGUGAACGUGCGGGGGACUCCGGGUGGGAAAAGGGGAAGCCAGCCUGAAGAGCGUGCGGUGUUGGGACAUGGGCCGAUGUCUGGGCAAGGGGCUUGGCAGGGGAGGAAUGGAGGCCACGUGGCAGGAGCAGGGCGGGAGCGCGGAGGCAGGACUCACGGCCCGGGGGGUGUGAAGAGCCGGACCCCUGGGGAACAGGUGCGGAAAGGGGAUACAGUGGCUGUAGUGACACAGAGGAAACGGGGCAGGCUGGCAGUUACGAGGCACCCCGCUCAGGAAGCACGUCAGGGCCUUCGGGAUGGACUCACGAGCAUGGAGUCCAGCGUGUGGAUGGCAGGCACGCUUAGAAAUGGCAGAGGAGCAGGUAGGAAGCAAGGCGGAGGUGAGAGUUCGCAAAGAUCGCCAAAUGCCUGCUUCUGCUAUUUCAGGGGACCCGGAGAGGAAUGGAGGUAGUCUAGCACGGGGCGGGAGGAGCCCGCAGAGGCAAGCACGGAUAGACGGGGACCUUCAAACCAGCGUGGGGUCACAGGUCGUGUCGCAGAAGAUGACGUUGUCAGCCAAGGGGCGCGGAGGGAGAGAGCGAGAGCGAGGGGUGGGACAGUGGGGGCUGGGAGGUGGGGGCUCUUGCCCUGCGGGCUGGAGCCAAGGGACAACAGAGAGAGGGCAAGGCAGAAAGGGCUGGAGACCGAGAGGAGCGUCUCAAAGUCUGCAUGUGGGUGUUGUGAGGGGACCGUGCCCAAGAGGGCAAGAGGGCAGAGCGGGGUGGAUCCCGACCUGGCCCACUGGGAGCAGGAGAGCAAGGGCGAUGGGCAGGGGCGCAGCAUGGGUCCCGAAGAAGGAGAGAAGGAAGGCGUGGGGGCAAAGGAAGGAAGCGGAGGAGGACUGAGCGGCGGGACCGCGUAGAGGCCAGUAGACAGUGGCUUGAUGAAAGGGAAGAAGACGGAAGAGGCAGGAAGGUGAGACGGGCCAAGGCUAGGGAAGAGGGAGCCUCCAGGGAAGGCGGUGGCGGGGAGCCAGCGGAAGGACGAGACGAGAGACAGCAGAUGGCUUCUGGAGAGUGAACGCGGCCCGCUGAGGGGAUGGAAAGAGCGUGAGCAGUGAGGGCCCUACACGGGAGGGAGCACAGCCCCAAGGAGAAGAGAUGACUGAAUACAACUCAAUGCCAGGCGUUAGGGAGCUCUGAGAGGAGAGGCGUGAGCCGUAGGGGAGAGGCUGGGCACUCUGCUGGGCCGACUAGGGGAAGGGCAGCCAUGCGUCCCGUCCCGUCCCGUCCCGUCCCGACCCGAGAGGUCGCAAGGGAGAAGCUUGAACGUGAGAGGCUACUGCAGCGGGAGCGUCACCUCCCCGAGACAGACAGGCUUCGGAGGGCCCCGCAGGAGAGGAUGGAGAGUGGAGUGGGUGGAAGGAAGACAGGCUGGACGCCAACAGGAGGGUUUUGCGAAAAUGAGAGGCAGGUGGCAGAUGUGGAUGUCCACAUCCAGAGAGGUGGCGGAGCUCUAGGUACGAAGGGAACCAUCUUCUUUAACGGAGCUUGAGGAGUCGUUACCCACGCAGGGCUGGGGGUGAGGAAGACGAGAGAAUGGCCCCCGAGAGGACCAAGGAGAGUAGCUGCAGGAAAGACGCAAGGGGAAGGUCUGGUUGGCAGGAAACGAGGAGAGACGAGAGGACCAGAGGGCCGGUGCUCUGCAGGGGGACCGUGUCGCGGGUCUGACCUGAGGAGGGGCAACCUAGGGAGAGGGCCAGCGGCAAGGGCCGGGAAGGGGCAGAUUGGGACCAAGGAAAGAUACUGUCACAGUGCCUGAGAGUCCUAGAGGCUCGGGGGCUAGAGCGGUGUUGAUGGGGGGGGCGGGGCGGGGCGUGACAAGAAGAGAGCUCUACCGGAGACUGGGGUUCGGGCGUGUCGGGUGUCGGUGAGCGUUCAGGCGAGGGCCUGCGCUGGUGCCAAGAGGACAGCGCCGGGCUGAUGGCAGCGUGGGGGCAAUGCUGGGGUCUUUGAGGCACAAGCAAGCGCCAGUGGCAACCGACGGAAGGCUAGAGGCGCCCACGGGGAGAGUGCAGCCCAGGGAGGCAGGUGGGGCUUCCACAACAGUGAUUCUUCUCGGGGGUGGGGGGGGUGGAUUUCACCCGAGGCGGGGGGGGGCUGCGGGCAUGGACCCCAAGGGAGGCCUAUCAGAACAUCUGAGGGGGAGCAGUGCUCUGCUCGAAGAAAAACAAAACCAAAAGCAAAGGAAAAAGAAAACACAAAAACACGCCCGAAAGAUGCUGCUGAUAGGCUGCCUUGGGGGCCAUGCGUCCUCGGGUGAGAAUCACUGGGUGGAAGGGGCAGAGAGUGGAGAGCUGGGCAGAGAGGUGGAGCACGAGCCUGAGCACAUGGGCCCCUGAGUCGGGGUGGACGGAGGCCUCAGAGUCAGGAACGUCAGCCGUGGGUGCGGGUCGAGGACCCAGGACGAGGCAGACAGCGAGCAAAUGGAUGUAGCCGACUAGGCCCCUGGAAGGAUGGGGGUGGUUGGGAUUCACUGGCGGUGGGUAGGGAGCGCAGGGCCAAGGUGACGGUGCCGGAAGCGAGGACGCAUGCGACAGGAGGGUGAGAGAGACGGGAGUGCUGGCCGAAAGGAAGCUGGCUUGUGGGGAUGUGAGCAGAGCGCACCGGGUGGGAGGUCCACAGGAAAGGAAGGGGCAGGCGGUAGGGGAGACAGCAGACAGCAACUAAGGGGGACAUGUGGGAGAGCGAAGCCUGCUAGGGAGGGAGGAAGGAAGGAGGCAAGGACGGACGGACGACGGCAGAACCCAGGGCACUGUGCAGCUGGAGACUGAGCGCAGUGGUGUGAGGUUGGGGUUCACAGGCGUGAGGGCAGAGGGAGGGCAGAAAGAAGGCAGGAGCGCUGCGGAGAAGGGAAAACGGAGAGUCACGGGAAGGGGCUCCCCGAGAGGUGUGCCAGAAGAGUGUGCAACCAGGGGUCUGAAGGGAAAGGUGAAAGGUUACAGGCGGGGCCGUUCGCGCGGGUCCAGGAGGACAGCCCAGCCUGGGUCCGCAGAGACGUGCGCACGGCUUGGUGGGUGGAGCGUGCUCAUUCAGUACGUUGUGUGCGAGGCGAAGACGACCGGCCGAAGUGGGUUGAGCCGGGGGCGAGGGACUAAGCAUGGAGCACACAGCAGCGCCAAGUCCUGAGGCCCGCUGGAAGAGUCACAGAGGGUAGCUGAAAGAACGUUCGCGGGCUCCGGUAGGACAGUCCCGUCCCGUUGCUGUGUAGGCAGGUGAGGAGCAGAGAGGAGAGGCAAGGAAAUGGGGCCCUGGAGGCAGGAGGUGAGGAGCAGAGAGGAGAGGCAAGGAAAUGGGGCCCUGGAGGCAGGAGGUGAGGGGAGCAGCGUGCAAGACGCGGGAGAGUAGGGUCGAGGAGAGGCGGUCCAGCCGGCCGGAAGCGGGAGAGGGGCAGGCCGUGGCGCCUGACCGCUGGGGACAGGAGAGGCUUGCACAGAGGACCAGGGACGUGCCGGGCCACGAGGGCCGGCCAUGACCACGAAGGAGGGAGUGGAGGUGCAGAAUGUGGUUUGUGUAGAAUCUCGGUACUUUGUUACCCCUGAGUGGACUAAGGUUUCAGGAAUUCAUCCAGGAGCAAAAGCUCAGCAUUGUUAUGGCCAUUGAGGAAGCCAUGUGAGGUGGGAAGAGAACCCAGCAGUUGGGGUGGAGAGGUAGUGGUCCAUUUGAAAUCUUACGGUCAAGUCAUUGAAGGGCAUGGUGAGAUGGUGAAUGUCAGACUGUAGGUUGUGUAUGCAACCACUGUCUCCCACUGAUAAAAGUAAAGGGUUUAGAGGUGAAUUGGUACAGCAGGUGUUUUCAGAACAGUAGGUAGGGACAAAAAUGCUCGGAAUGAGGAGAGCAUGACGUCUCGUCACAAAGGGAGUAGAUGUCAAGGAAUAGACAGGGAAUUUGUCGCAUCACAGGCAGGUAGUACAGGAAGUAGGAUGGGAUAUUGAAGAUGACGCUGAGAGUCUCUCAAAGACAACAGUUGGAGAAAUGCAGAGCAUGGGCUAAGCAGGAUUCAUUCAGCACCCAGUGCGGAAAGAGAGAGAAAGUGCAAGUCAGCCAUGAGAAGUUGGUCCAUGUGAUGUGAGUUGGGUUACGUUAGUAGAAGGGAAAAGAAUGCGCAGCAUGGAAGGGGGGGAGAGAACUUUAAGAACAUGCAAGGGACUCAGGGUUGGUAAAGGGGGCACCAUGGAAGAGGGGAAAGCAGCCUAAAAAGCUCCCAGUGUGGGGAUGUCAGCAGCUGUCAGAGGACAAGAGGAUCGGCAUGUGCAGUGUAGAGGCCAGAUGGUAGGAGCAGAGCAUAGCGGAACUGAGACCCCAUAGUCCAGGCAGGUGAAUACCUGGGGCUCUCAGAACAAGUGUGGAAAGGCACCACAAUGACUGUGGUGAUAAAGAGGAAAUGGGACAUCAUGGCACGUUAAGGCGUAGCCUGUACAGAAACCACUGGCAGGUAACCUUAGGGAAUUCAGAAUGUGGAUGGAGUCCAGUGUGUGGGUGGCAGAUACAGUUAGAAAUGGCAGAGGAGUGAAUCAAGGUGGGAAGUGACAUUUUGCAGUGAUCACCAAAUCCAUGCUUCUGCUAUUGCAAGUGGCUGGAAAGGGUGGAGGUCUAGCAAGCAGGGGACAGAGACUCCAGACAGAGAAGUAAGGUAGGAGGGGUGACCUUCAAACCAAUGCGGUGUCAUACAUCUAGUCCAAGAAGAUAAUUUGGGCAGCAAAGUGGCACAGAGGGAGAGAGCAAGGUGUGGGAUGGUGGGGCUUCGGGGGUGGGGCUGUUGUUUAGGAGGCUUGAUCCAUGGAAAACAGGGCAAGGCAGAAUGAAAUGAACUCGAGAGGAAAGAUCGAGGGAAGGAUUGUCAAAAUUGGACCUCGAAGCAGCUGGAAGGGAGAGUCCCUCCUAGAGAGACAAGGUAAAGAGAACUAUGCAGGGGAGGUUGGAGGGUGGAUUGUGUGGUGGAGGGAGACAAGCUGGACACCAACAGGGGGAGUGAGGUGAAGAGGAAGUCGGCAGAGUCUGCAUCCAGACAGAUAUCAGAGAUGCCAACAAGAUGGAAGUUAAGAACAUCAGGGGCCAGCCAAGGGGAGCAGAGGCAUAGAGAAGGAGGAGCAGAGAAGGGGUGGCUAGCAGUGCGAGGGGAGCAGUGGCUGCUCUUGCAGCCUUUGAAUGUUGUGGCAAGAGUAGAACUUUUUUGGCCAGGCUCUUUACUACGGAUCCG